rnacentral:rRNA from 1 species
AGUUGGAAACGACUGCUAAUACCGCAUAAGCCCACGGGUCGGCAUCGACCAGAGGGAAAAGGAGCAAUCCGCUUUGAGAUGGCCUCGCGUCCGAUUAGCUGGUUGGUGAGGUAAUGGCCCACCAAGGCGACGAUCGGUAGCCGGACUGAGAGGUUGAACGGCCACAUUGGGACUGAGACACGGCCCAGACUCCUACGGGAGGCAGCAGUGGGGAAUAUUGCACAAUGGGGGAAACCCUGAUGCAGCGACGCCGCGUGGAGGAAGAAGGUCUUCGGAUUGUAAACUCCUGUUGUUGAGGAAGAUAAUGACGGUACUCAACAAGGAAGUGACGGCUAACUACGUGCCAGCAGCCGCGGUAAAACGUAGGUCACAAGCGUUGUCCGGAAUUACUGGGUGUAAAGGGAGCGCAGGCGGGAAGACAAGUUGGAAGUGAAAUCUAUGGGCUCAACCCAUAAACUGCUUUCAAAACUGUUUUUCUUGAGUAGUGCAGAGGUAGGCGGA